UCUUCUCUUGCCUGCAGGAGUUUUGAGUUUUUUCGAAUUCGGUCACUUGGCUGUGGUGGCUGCUGUCUUUAGGUGGUUUCAUAGCAUAUGCCGCAAUGGGCGAGAUAGCAUAGAUACUGGCACCCUACGGGUAUUCACUUUUAUACUAUACUGUUCCAUCAUGGCUGCGAUAUGGGUCUAACGUUUUGCCGUGUGCUCCGCGUUUUGUGAAAAUUUUUCAGAUUUACUUUAUUUUGCAUGUGAAAAAUUUAUAUCUCACUCGUUAAUUAGAGUGCAAUGAAUAAAGUGAGAUAAUAAUCAAUAUUGGGGAUUGAUUAAUUACUCUGUAAUUAGUGAAAAAUGUGCUCAGUAAUUUUGUGCAGGUUAUGUUCGUUUUUGCGGAAAUGGCAUUUUAUAUUCUAUGGACAAACGGUGGAUUCAAGUGAUAACUUCAGUUGCAAGACGGAAGUGGAUUUGCAACUAGUCACGCCGUACUGUGAUUGGCUGUUAGAUUGGACAACAAUAAUUUAUAGUGUUAGGAGUGCAUAUUAUUUAUUUUUCGACAGUUGGCGCACAUGCGUCACUCAUAACAUCAAGUCAUAAAAGCGCGGGAAACGUACUUAACUUCAGGCAUGGCUCUACAAACCUUGUCGCCCGAGGCUUCAGGCACGGCUCUACAAACCUUGUCGCCUGAGGCUUCAGGCACGGCUCUACAGACCUUGUCGCUUAUGAUGAGUUCCACUAAAAGUACAAGUCUCUACCGGUUUCUCUACCAUUGCUCUUAUUUUGGAUUUGCGUGCGCCAACAGCUAUUCACGGUGCUUCAUCGUCCUUCUAUUUACAGAUUUCGAGGGUGACCAUUGUACGAAACUUUCUCUUCGUGACAAAUAUGAAAAACAGCAUUUAUACCAAUAAUGAGAACAAGAGUGUUACUGUAUGAAACUUUUUCGCAGCGAAAAAUAUGAAAAACAGUAUUUAGACCAAUAAUGAAAACAGGCGUAAUUCUUAAGCAUAGUUUUGAUGAACCCGGAGCAUGAAAUUACGACUAGUAAAUUUAUAUAGUGGAGAAAUAAAUUGAUUGACACGGUUGUUGAUCAUGCAGCUAAGGAAGAGAAUUUGUUCUGUUUUAGAUUAUUAUUGCACAAUUUAUGGAGUCAUGGAUGAAUCAAUCUUUGUUUCGACAAAAUAAAAGAAGUGAAAUCAAUUUAGAGUUUUAUUGUUAAUUUGCAUUCGUUUGUAUUUUGUGAUUUCAAUAAAAUUUUAGAUGCAUGUGUACUUAAAUAGAUUGUUAACAAAGCAGUCAUUAAGUCAGUGUUUGUUCGUAUAAAGUUUUAUUAAUGUUUGUUUUUUGUUUUUUUACAGGUCGAUAGACUAUACUUUAUAUGUGAAACAUCCAAUUGAAUUAAAUUUAUUGUCUGUCUCUUGAUCAAUAAAUAAUUAUCGCGUAUUAAAGUCAAUGCACUAUGGAAGACGAUCAGGAAACUAGUAUAUUUCUUCUAUAGAACAAUAAUAUCAAUCUACUGCAACUUCAACCUACUUCAUUUUCAAUUUACUUUGAUGUAAAUCUAUCUUAUUUUUGACUUAUUACGAGUCAACCUACUCUAAUUUCAAUCUACAAUAAGGAUGAAUGUUUUGGAUCGUGGAAUUUCUUAAAUAAAUUUAGGACAUUCUGAGAGAAUGUGACUCGUAAGUAUUCCAGAUUAUUUAAAUUUUGGUGGAGUCAGGAAAGUUUUCAGGAAAACUGUUCCCUGGUGAUAACAAAUAUUACAGAUAAUUGCAUCUUAAGGCGCGACUUUUAUGAAAGAUAGAUUUGAUGAAGCUAUUAGGGAAAAUUCUAGGAACUUCUCGAUAGAGCAAGAAAAGGAUUUUCCAAAAUUCCUUCAAGAAUUUUCAAAAGAAUUCGCAAGAAAUUGCGGAAUUGUUGAACAUAUCAUAGACCUAACCGAUUCUCUAUAAAAUGAGUUUCUUGGAGGAUUUUUCAUUUGAAAGAAAAAAAGAGAAAGUUGACGAUACGCGUUUGGGUGUUGUUAGGAUUCCAAAAAAUUAGGUCGACGGCGUUAUAUCUGCAACAAGACGGACUUGAUUGAUCAUCUGGCAAAAUUCAUUAGGACCAGAAAGAUUAGGAUCAGUGGAUUCUAUUGUGUUAUUUAAUUUAUAGAUCCGCAAGGCAUAAGAUUUCAGCAAAAAUGUUAACUAGAAAUGACUUAAAAAUGCUAUUAGAUUUUCUUUGUUGUCCAUCCGUAUAAUAUAAAUAGAAAAUAUAAUAUAAAUAGAAAAGAGAGAUACACAUUAAAACUUAUGUCCCGAAGCUUAAUACGAAGCUAGACGAAAUACAUAGAACCAUAAAUAAGCGGAUAGAGAUGAAGUUUUGCUUGGAAAAAAGCUUAUUAAAGGAUCAGAAGGUAUGUUCAACUCUCAAUACAGAAGAAGCAGAACGAAGAAGUUCAAGAGCAAUUGGGAAAGCCCAUAUAAAAUUAUGAAGAAAAUCAACGAUGUGGAGUACACUUCGAAAAAAAAUCUUCGAGAAAGAAAUAAGAAAAUCUUUAAGAAAGAAAAAGAAAAUUGAUCAUGUAGAUAGUCUAAUGUUAAUAAAGGAACUAGGUAAAACGGUAGAAAAACGUAGAGACAAAUCUACGAGUGAUUAACACUUUUGCAUGAAUGAAGCGUCACAUGUUCUGACUUAGGUGUCUUUUCUAUUAGGGAUGGAAUCUGUCUUUAAUAGUUCCGAUCGUUGCGGAAGUUGAAAGAGAGGAUCAAACAGUCGAAGAAAGAAGGGAAAGGAUAGAGCACUCAAUUGGAUACUGCAAAUUCCUUGGGAUUUUUUAGGCCAUAGUUUUCUUUUUAAGUGAAGCGGAUUCAUGCUGCGGGUGAAUGCCACAAAUCGCUCAUCAGUUGGGAAAUGAUCAUGGCAGUCUACUACCUCCCCAUGCCAAUGGUAUUCCAAAUGAUGGAAAAAAUAAGUGGGAAAGAGUCUAAAAAAGGACCUCUGCCGGAGAUAAAACUAAGAGACGAAUUUUGCCGAAGUCCUUGAUGACUUGGUUAUUAGGACAAAGAAAUUGGAAAUACGAAUGAUUUAGCAAAUAAGCAGGUGUUGUCAAUAAGGAAUUCUAGAGCCGAAGGUUUGUGAUAUGGAGAAGUUAGCAGAAAACCUCUUAGUGAAAACUCUUAGUGCAAUUUUUAGUGUGAAAAGGACCAUAAUAAUUGACUCCAACAUUCGAGAAGGAUUUAGUCUUAUUCAUAUGAAUCUUGACCCUGAAUGUAAAUAGGAGGAGAUCUAUUUUCUUUAUUUGUUUUGGUGUUACCUGUUGGUAUAGCAUCGGUUUCAGAGAGUAUACUGUUGUAUGAGUUGUGAGUCUGUAUAUCUUGUAGCCAUAUUUCGAAUUGAUGAAACGUGUGUGAAUUUGACAUAUCUGUAAUUGUUUUAGAUUCCCUCUUUUUACUAGUAGAUAGAAACUCAACUCGGUAGAUUGAAGCGUUAGUGGACAUGUAGACAUCCUUUACUUCGUUAUUUGAUGUGUUUCGUAUGGAGUAGGUGUCUCCCAAUAUUGAGACUUUUAGGUUUAUUGGUGGCAUAUUUGAGCCAGCGACGAUACGAUGUACGCCUACUGUCUCACCGCGCCGAGAUAAUACAAGAGGUCGUUAAUGUACAAGAACUAUAAACAAAAACAAGUCACGAGUAAUAGGAAAUACGUCUAUCCUGUAAAAAUUUAGCGAAUAGAAUGAAACAAUAAAUAGAUACGUAUAGAUCAACUCGAUCAAUGCCCUCCCAUGUAAGUUGUGCUGCUGGCAACUGCAGUAUGCUUUCUAAUUCUAGACUUUUUGUAUCUCUUCAUAGAAUUCUUUUUGAAUCCAUUAUUCCAGCAUCAUUCCAAUUACUUAAAAGUUACACAAUUCUCUUGCCCUUCCAGGUUAAAAAUGUGAUUUUUCCUUUUUUAUAGAAACAAGUUUUCUUAUCCAAAAACUUGAAUAUUUUUCGUAAAUAUAUCCGAGUUCUUGUAAAUAUAUCCGUAAUAGGAAUUCUACUGUUAUGUUUAGUUGACCAAUAUAGAAAUAGGCAUUGUACAUAGAAUGUAUAUUGUAUUUUGAAUGAAUCAAUGAAAAUCCAAAAUUCAUCUUUACUUACAUCAUGUCAUGCUGGCCAUAUGGAGUCUUUAGUUAGAUUUUAGCAACUAUAACAAGAUAAAUAACAACAAUAACAAGAUUUUGCAUAGUUGUUUAUUUUCUUUAUUAUUUCAUCGACUAGCUGGUUCGUGAAAAACAGUUUGAAAAACUGAAUCGGUUCAAAAAUAUUAAAAGAUCUGUUACUUUUGAUCCUAUUGAAAAAUUUACUCUAAGUGGCAUGUAUCCAUUCUCUGUAAUACUGACCCAAUCAUCUUCCUUUGAGAUGCUUGCGUUAUUAUCAGUGUCAGAUUCAAUAGUCCCGUACCUUUCGUCUUCGAUAAAUUAUUAUAUCGCUGUCGUCAUUAUUGUUCUUAGUAUCACGUUUUUUUUAACGAAAUUAACGUGUAUUGUUCACCUGAGAAUCACUUGAAUCCUUAAGAUUUGUGAAAAAUAUUUUAUGGCAUAUCACAAUGGUUAUGCGUGUAAAUGGAAUUUAUCCUUAUAUUUGAUCGUUAUAAUGAGCGCUUUAUCUUCGUUAGUUUCCACCACGUGGAUGAGCUUCGUCUUGUCGUCAUUUCUAUCACACUGCAUUGUACUUGAGUGUUCUCAAUGGUAAGUGCUGCUGUUCGUAAUGAUGACGAUGGUGAUGAUGUUGUUGCUCUUGCUCUUAUUUUUGUUGUUGAACCUUCUCUGUGAUUGAAAAUAUCAGAAUGAAAAAAGAAUGUUUUCCCGAAAUAGAAUAGAAUUUUGCCUAGAAAUAGUCUCCGUGGAUUCUUCUCUAAUCUUGAACAAUGAGUGACAAAAUGGAAUAAAUUUGUCAUUGUGUUGGAAAACGUUUCGUUCAAUAAAUAAAAGCCUGAUGAUUCCUACUCAUCAUUCGAAUUUAAUCUUCUCAAAGUUCACAGAGUAACCUUUGUUUCUACAAUGCUUACAUCCUGCCUUUUUUGCUUGUGCUGACAUGAUCCUCUUUUCGCAAUCUCGAUAACGUACAAGUUUUAUUCUCAUUAUUCUCCUUUAAAAGUAGAUCAUCAGAAAGAUUUGUUUCCAAUGAACGAUCCUUCUUUUCUUUGCUAUUUAUUUUUUCCCACAUGUAGUAAUUCGCCGAAGGAGACGGAAUUGACGAUAAAAAUCCUCGGCGAAGAAGGAAGUUAAAAAGUUAAAUUUCUUUUGAAAUAAAUUGAUUGAGAAGAUUCUUUCGGACCCGUCGUUCUUAAUAUUCAAACUUAUAAAUUAAUGACCAUUUUGUUCGACCCUCAAAUGAGCUGACUCUUCAAGGAAGUCGGAAGAAAUUCUACAGAAUUUCUCGCAACUUGGACGUUCACAUUUACGAGAUGAUUUACUAAGAUAUCUCGUAAAUGUGAGCGUCAAGAUGUAUUGAGGAAUUUUUGUGAAUGAAAGUACUGUUUCCGUUAUUGCGAUAUUGCUCUCCCGCGAAGCCUUGAUUCACCAUCUGAAAUACAAGAAUCCAUUCGGUCAGUUUUCCAACUUAAUUUUAUCGAAAGAACGAAUUGAUUUGCCUCGAAUAAUUCGAUUAAGGUGCAUAAUUCUUAAUGCAGAACUCGAAGGUAAAGCGGAAGAUAAGUAUCGAUUCAAUAAGCCAGUUUAAAAUUAUACGUAUAAGUUUAUACGCAUUUCACAAGCGUAAAAGGUUUGCUUUUAAAUAUAAUUAAUGAUUUAGCGAGUUACGUUGUCCUUCGGAUUGCCUAUUAUUGUGUUACCGUUAAACGAUUAAUUUUUCUUCUCUUUGUUAACUCGAUUAGAAGUACUAAUGAAGUGUUCAUUUAAUGUGGAUAUUGAAGAGUCUGACGUUCCCAUGAUGAUCUGUAUGAUCGUUAAAUGGAUUAAUCACGAAGCAUUUACAAUUUUGACGAUUCGAUUUGAAUUACGUUUAUUAGCUUGUCCUCCUGUCAAUAUCUAUCGAAGUAAAAUUUAUUUAUGAAAAUGCAUUUUGAGUUGCAUUAAACAAAAGGAGAAAGAAAAAAAAAGCAGAAUUCUUUUAUCGUUUAUUAUUAUUAAAUUAUCUGCCCCUAGAUCCGGUUCUUAUUAGUCGAGGUCGUUCGCACCCUCUACUUGAUACUUCUUUAUCAAUUCGCUUUAUCUUUGAUGUCAUCUUUCGCUUCUUUAUCGCUAUCAUCUUUGUUCCCUUCAUUUAUUUCCGCAUGGAUUGAAAUAGCAUUAGAAAGAUUUAUUGGUGAUUCAUUGCCAUCAUUUAUAUCCAAUGCAAUUAAAGUGUCUGUUUUCAAAUCACGACUUAUAAUUGUACUAUUUGUAUUAUUAUCCAAAAGAUGAUGUAUUCUAGAAUUAUUGUCGAUACCAAUAUAUCUGUAUUCCUUAGCCUAGUUAUUCAUUUUUCUUCGGAAUUCCUUAGAUACAUAUAUGUAAACUUUGGAUCCAAAGAUGUGCAUGUAUUUAAGAUCUGGUUUCGUUCUAUCCAUCUUCAACAAUAUUCAAACACUUAACAGAUCAUAACUAUUUAAUAAUACACAAACUACAUUAUAACAAAUUUUUAAUAUUUUAUUGGUUAUUUCUUUUGUCAAAUUAUUGUUCUUAAGCGCGUGGGCAUAUUAGAAAAUAUUGCUUCUAAAUAAUUUUAUAGUAUACGCCCUCACUCUUGUAUUAAACGAGCUUUUAAGUAUACUUUCGCUUUUAUCGAUGUUAUUUUAAUGUUGCGAUUCAAUAGAUCCUAUAGGUUUUCAAUGGGAUUUAAGUCCGGCAACUGUAGAGGAAGAUGUAACAUUUUGGAGCAAUUAUAUAUUAAAUAUUUUUAAACGAUCCGAGAUUUGUGUUUCGUAUCAUUGUCCUGAUAAAAUUUAAAACUAUUACUUAUGCCCAUUUUAACUGCACUUUGUGUUAAAUUUUCUUUUAAAAUGUCUAAAUAUUUACUUUUAUUCAAAAUACCGUCGAUAAAAAUAAGUUUUCUUAUUCCAGUAGUUGAAAUGUAGCACCUUACAUUAACCUUCCGGCACCAUAUUUUAGAAUCGCUCGAAGAUUCUUUUUUUCGAAUUGUGUAUUAACUUUUCGCCACACUAAUUUUCGACAGCGAGAGUGAACGUGCAGCUCUCUUGAGAGACGUAUCAGCGAAACAAGCUAGAACAAAUAAUAGCGAAACAACAAAAUGACUGACGGGUCAGCGAACAUCAAACAGCUGUGACAUUAUUUCUUUUAUACUUUUACUUUUGUUAAAUAUUUCUUCAAUAUUUAACCAUUCGUUGAGAACAGCGUUUUUUUCUUCAGCAUUGCGCCGGCCUAUCAAUAGAAUAAAAUUUAACGUGCAAUCAAUUUUCAAUAACAUUAAUAAUAUUUUUCCCUACAAUUUGGGGCUCAACCAGGAUCUUGGAUUAGCAGGUAUGCAAUCAUGAAGAUACGUUUAUGCCUGAAACGUAAAUUUGAUUGUAUUUUAUGAUAACGAGUUAACAGCGUGAUGGAAGCGAAAGAUUUAUACAAGUUCACCGUGACGCAGUUUGAAAGAAAACCGUAAGAUUCUAGUACUUCCGACUAUGAAAUCUAAAAACGAAUUAAUGGCUAGACUGAUUGAACACGAUGUCAGUGAAGUGAGUGACGAUGCAACGCCUCCGCAAACGUAGUUUUCCGUGGAUCCGUUAAUCGGAGAAGAGAAUGGAACCGAAAGCGAAAUGGACUUGAUGUUACAACACAUCAAAUUGUUAAA